GUUUAUUUAUCGCGAGUUGCCGCCGCCAGGGCCACCACCAGAGCUACUGCCGGUCAGUUCAGCCGUUCUUCUUUAUUACAAUAGGUUUGAGUUCUGUAUUUUGCAUGUCGCUUUUAAUUUGCUGUGAUUGCUGCGAAAGUGAUCAGAGGCUGAGGUUUCGGUUGCUAUUGGCUUCGAGCUGAAAGAAAAGAGCUCUGUUUGCGCGCUUGGUUUAUGAUUUUGCUUGUCGAGGGAUGGCAGUUUUAUCCCGCCUGCAGUGAGAAUGGUGGUUUUAUCCCGCUCACGUAUUGAUAAAUUGUUUAGCAAGGACGGUGGCGUGAUCCUGCUUGCAUAUUAUUUUGUGUGCCCAGUAAGGAUGGUGGUUUAAUCCCGCUUACUGUGGAGG